CUACGUGCCAGCAGCCGCGGUAAUACGUAGGGCGCGAGCGUUGUCCGGAAUUAUUGGGCGUAAAGGGCUUGUAGGCGGUUGGUCGCGUCUGCCGUGAAAUUCUCUGGCUUAACUGGGGGCGUGCGGUGGGUACGGGCUGACUUGAGUGCGGUAGGGGAGACUGGAACUCCUGGUGUAGCGGUGGAAUGCGCAGAUAUCAGGAAGAACACCGGUGGCGAAGGCGGGUCUCUGGGCCGUUACUGACGCUGAGGAGCGAAAGCGUGGGGAGCGAACAGGAUUAGAUACCCUGGUAGUCCACGCUGUAAACGUUGGGCACUAGGUGUGGGGGCCACCCGUGGUUUCUGUGCCGGAGUUAACGCAAUAAGUACCCCGCCUGGGGAGUACGACCGCAAGGUUGAAACUCAAAGGAAUUGACGGGGGCCCGCACAAGCGGUGGAGUAUGUGGUUUAAUUCGACGCAACGCGAAGAACCUUACCAGGUCUUGACAU
rnacentral:rRNA from 1 species